GUCGGGUUCCAAUCCAGAGACGCUAUCCAGUCCGCAAACGACGAAGUAAUCAAUAAGUCGCUGUCCUCCAUUAGCUGCAGACAUUAUGCGUUCUUCUCGUGGCGUAUUUCACGCGAAAAGCAAGACAAUUCAAGCAUUUCGUGGCCAGAAAUGCAAAGAUAAAAUCGGCAUCUCAGGAGUAGGUCGAAGUUCUGCUUUGUUUUUGUAUCG